rnacentral:rRNA from 1 species
AUUGAACGCUGGCGGCAGGCCUAACACAUGCAAGUCGAACGAGUGGCGGACGGGUGAGUAAUGUCUGGGGAUCUGCCCGAUGGAGGGGGAUAACUACUGGAAACGGUAGCUAAUACCGCAUACUAUCGGAUGUACCCAGAUGGGAUUAGCUGGUAGGUGAGGGAAUGGCUCACCUAGGCGACGAUCCCUAGCUGGUCUGAGAGGAUGACCAGCCACACUGGGACUGAGACACGGUCCAGACGCCUACGGUAGGCAGCAGUGGGGAAUAUUGCACAAUGGGCGCAAGCCUGAUGCAGCCAUGCCGCGUGUAGGAAGAAUGCCGUAGGGUGGUAAAGUACUUUCAGUGGGGAGGCGUUACCCGCAGAAGAAGCACCGGCUAACUCCGUGCCAGCAGCCGCGGUAAUUC